rnacentral:rRNA from 1 species
CAGUCGAGGGGUAGUCUAGCAAUAGAUGAGACCGGCGCACGGGUGCGUAACGCGUAUGCAAUCUACCUUUUACAGAGGGAUAGCCCAGAGAAAUUUGGAUUAAUACCUCAUAGCAUAACGACUCGGCAUCGAGAUGUUAUUAAAGUUCCAACGGUAAAAGAUGAGCAUGCGUCCCAUUAGCUAGUUGGUGUGGUAACGGCACACCAAGGCAACGAUGGGUAGGGGUCCUGAGAGGGAGAUCCCCCACACUGGUACUGAGACACGGACCAGACUCCUACGGGAGGCAGCAGUGAGGAAUAUUGGUCAAUGGGCGCAAGCCUGAACCAGCCAUGCCGCGUGCAGGAUGACGGUCCUAUGGAUUGUAAACUGCUUUUGUACAGGAAGAAACACUCCCUCGUGAGGGAGCUUGACGGUACUGUAAGAAUAAGGAUCGGCUAACUCCGUGCCAGCAGCCGCGGUAAUACGGAGGAUCCAAGCGUUAUCCGGAAUCACUGGGUUUAAAGGGUCCGUAGGCGGGUUUAUAAGUCAGUGGUGAAAGCCCAUCGCUCAACGAUGGAACGGCCAUUGAUACUGUAGAUCUUGAAUUAUUAGGAAGUAACUAGAAUAUGUAGUGUAGCGGUGAAAUGCUUAGAGAUUACAUGGAAUACCAAUUGCGAAGGCAGGUUACUACUAAUGGAUUGACGCUGAUGGACGAAAGCGUGGGUAGCGAACAGGAUUAGAUACCCUGGUAGUCCACGCCGUANACGAUGGAUACUAGCUGUUCGGAGCAAUCUGAGUGGCUAAGCGAAAGUGAUAAGUAUCCCACCUGGGGAGUACGUU